rnacentral:pre_miRNA from 1 species
AUGCAUCCUGAAAUCCCAUUGUUUGUAUGUUUUUUUCAACAAUGUGUUUCAGAAUGUAGU